CAAUAGCGUAUAUUAAAGUUGUUGCAGUUAAAAAGCUCGUAGUUGGAUUUCUGGUGGGAGCGAUCGGUCUGGCGCUUAGCGCGAGUACUUGCAUCGUCUCCGGCCAUCCUUGGGGAGAGUCUGUCUGGCAUUAAGUUGUCGGGCAGAGGAUCCUCAUCGUUUACUGUGAAAAAAUUAGAGUGUUCAAAGCAGACUUAUGCCGUUGAAUAUAUUAGCAUGGAAUAAUAAGAUAGGACUUUGGUACUAUUUUGUUGGUUUGCGCACCAAAGUAAUGAUUAAUAGGGACAGUUGGGGGUAUUCGUAUUCCGUUGUCAGAGGUGAAAUUCUUGGAUUUACGGAAGACGAACUACUGCGAAAGCAUUUACCAAGGAUGUUUUCAUUAA
rnacentral:rRNA from 1 species